AGCAAAGCUGGCUGAUGCAUCAAGUCCAAGUUGUAAGCUCUCACUUGGGGCCAUAUAUUCAAUCAUGCAAUACCUAUUCACAAUGUCUUCCCCCAAGAAACUUCUUAUUAUUUGAUCAACAUAAGAAAUGAACUUGAGUUUUUUUUUUUCAUUGUUAGUCUUUCUUGUUGUCCUUGUUUUGUUCAUUGAUGAACAGAGAAAACAAGACCACAAGAAUACCUCCAAGAACUGCAACUUUUUUCCAAUCAGCACCUGAGGAUGAGGCAAGAGAAUCAACUAUUCCAAAAGUCAGCAAGCCAAUGAAGAAGAGGUAAACAUUUUUCCUUGUUUUGCUACCACUGCUUUCACUGUUCACAUCUUUGAUCUUUUCAACCUCCUCCUCCUCCUUGGCUUUUGCUUUGUAAACAGGUGCCUUCUGUCCAAGGUUCUUAAAGAAUAGCCCUUCGUUUCUAUCCUUCUCCAUUUGGCCCUCAAACUCCACUAUUUUGUUUUCACUCUCC
rnacentral:lncRNA from 1 species